GGUGCUGUACUGGGGUAUGGGAAGGGGAUACACACCAGGAAGUAAGAGGGAGAGGGAGUAGUGGCGAUGGACAGGUGUCUGAGCAUAUGCCCGGCGAUUCCAACAGACCUGCCGAGAGCUACUGCAUCCUGUCCAUCCUGGCCGUGCUCUUUUGCCUUCCCCUUGGCCUUCCAGCCUUAAUCUUAUCUUACCAGACAAUGCUCUACAAUCAAUCAAAUGACUAUGCACGGGCAGCUAUGACCAGCAAAAUAGCUUUCUGCUUGGCUAUAACUGGCCUUAUUUUGGGCCUCUUCAGCUAUCCCCUGAUUCUUGUACUGUUCUUAAGGUAACCUUCCAAGCUCAUGAACAAACUACUGAAUGUAAACAACGGUAUAAUCUAACCCUGACUGUAAGCAUCUAUUUGGGCUAAGUGGGACACCUGCUCUUCAGAGUCUGGAAUACCAGGCUAUUUGAAAUCAAGAGGAAAAAAGGAAAAAGAA